CACUUGUCUCUUAAUUGGAGGCUUGAAUGAAGGGUUGGACGAGAUAUAGACUUUCUUUAUUAUAAUUAGUUGAAUUUGACUUUUGAGUCAAAAGGCUUAAAUUUAUUUAUAGGACGAGAAGACCCUAUAGAAUUUUAUAUUUUUAUAUUAAUAAUUUAUUUGUUUAUAAUUAGAUUUUUUAUCUAAAAAUAUUUUGUUGGGGCGAUGGGAAGAUUUUUUUAACUCU
rnacentral:rRNA from 2 species